GAUGAACGCUGGCGGCGUGCCUAAUACAUGCAAGUCGAGCGAACAGACGAGGAGCUUGCUCCUCUGACGUUAGCGGCGGACGGGUGAGUAACACGUGGAUAACCUACCUAUAAGACUGGGAUAACUUCGGGAAACCGGAGCUAAUACCGGAUAAUAUAUUGAACCGCAUGGUUCAAUAGUGAAAGACGGUUUUGCUGUCACUUAUAGAUGGAUCCGCGCCGCAUUAGCUAGUUGGUAAGGUAACGGCUUACCAAGGCAACGAUGCGUAGCCGACCGGACAGGGUGAUCGGCCACACUGGAACUGAGACACGGUCCAGACGCCUACGGGAGGCAGCAGUAGGGAAUCUUCCGCAAUGGGCGAAAGCCUGACGGAGCAACGCCGCGUGAGUGAUGAAGGUCUUCGGAGCGUAAAACUCUGUUAUUAGGGAAGAACAAAUGUGUAAGUAACUAUGCACGUCUUGACGGUACCUAAUCAGAAAGCCACGGCUAACUACGUG
rnacentral:rRNA from 1 species